ensembl:snoRNA SNORD33 Small nucleolar RNA Z195/SNORD33/SNORD32 family
UCACCAAUGAUGAUACUAUUUGUCUUGUUUGAGUUUUAACGACCAUGACAAAACUCAACAUGCACUACCAUCUGAGACAGA